rnacentral:lncRNA from 1 species
UAAUGGGGGGUGAAAGUGGGUUAGAUCUGAUCCCACAUCGGCUGGGAAGGAGAACUAAGCAUUCCUUAUAAGGGGUGUGGAUACCUUCCCUAUCACAACCCGUUUUAAAGCCGUGAGGGCAGCAGAUCCCAUAAGAACUCUGCAGUUAAGCGUGCUCGGGCGGGAGUAGUACCAGGAUGGGUGACCCCCUGGGAAGUCCUCGUGCCGAGUGGCCCAAAGCGGACAAUAUUGUGAUACGUGCCAGAGGGGGAUGUUACAAAUGGUAUCAGAGCUAGGGCACGGGUCGAUGUGUUCGACGGGGACGUCGAACCCUAUAAUGGGGGGUGAAAGUGGGUUAGAUCUGAUCCCACAUCGGCUGGGAAGGUGAACUAAGCAUUCCUUAUAAGGGGUGUGGAUACCUUCCCUAUCACAACGCGUUUUAAAGCCGUGAGGGCAACAGAUCCCAUAAGAACUCUGCAGUUAAGCGUGCUCGGGCGGGAGUAGUACCAGGAUGGGUGACCCCCUGGGAAGUCCUCGUGCCGAGUGGCCCAAAGCGGACAAUAUUGUGAUACGUGCCAGAGGGGGAUGUUACAGUAAGCACAAAAAUU